AGAGGGGGGUCGGGAGGCGGUGAGGCGGGGUGGAAGUGAGAACGAGAAAACCCGUGCUAAAACCUCUUCCAAGAGAAAAAGAAGAAAGAGCGCCCGCCCCCCCCCUCCUCGCCGCCGCCGGUGCAAAAGGCGGUAACCAACCACCCUAGCCCACACCUGGUCGGUGCUCCACACCCUGGGCAGGAAGGGGGUGGGAAGGAGGGCGCAGGAGGCCUGCCCUUUUUGUAUUCAAUUGCCCGUGCGUCUAUGCAAAAAGCCAGGAGCUGGGCUGCACCCCGGGUGGAGCGCGCAAUGGCUGAAAGCUUUUCUGUUUUGGGAUGUGGCUCUACCUGCCCGCCCCUUCCCCCUCCCCCACGUGGUGCAGUUUACUCAAAAUCUACAAGGGAGAGUGCUCCAAUUAGAGCAAAACAGAGGAGGAAAACCUUUUCAUCGUCGGCUGUCACGACCAGCUCCGGCCACACUGGAAAGCCUGCUUUGAAAGCCCAGGUGAUCAUCAUGCUUCUUUCACGCAACUACUCUGCCCUGCUUUCACACAGUUCUAAAGCCAAAAACCUACUGUUCGCACCUGCCUGCCCAGCUUCUUUCCUUCCUUCUUUCCUUCCUUCAUUCAGCAAAUAUUUAUCAAGCACUUACUUUUUGCCAGGUGUUAUGCCAGGCGCUGGAUAUAGCAGCAAAUAAGUAAACUAUGUUAAUAUGUGUUCAGUAUCCAAUGUUGGGCUGAAGCCUUUCUAUUGGACUAUUAGUAGCAAUAUUUUAGAAAGAUUAAAAAACCAGUUCUAGUGAAUGCAAGAUACUAUCUUGUAUUUGAAUAGAACCAUAUAGUAUUUAAGGAUUUCACAUGCAAGAUUCCAUUUUAUACUCAAAUCUAUUAAAAAGAAAAAAGGGUAGGGCAAAUAUUAUCUUCAUUUUGCAGAUGACACAAACGAGAUUUAGGUAGGUUAGAUGAUUUCCUUCAAGGUCACACAGCUAGUAAGCAACAAAGCUGGCUUGGGAACUCAGCUCUUACUUCUGAUUGGUUGCUUUUUCUAUCACCCCUUACUGGGACAGGAAGGUCUGACUUCCUAGGAGGCAGCUACCUCACUCUGUGUGUAAAUAAGGCGGUAGAGAACUGUUCCCUUUGAGUUUUUAAUUUUUUUUAAUGUUUAUUUAUUUUUUAGAGACAGAGACAGAGACAGAGUGUGAGCUUGGGAGGGGCAGAGAGAGAGAGGGAGACACAGAACCCGAAGCAGGGUC
rnacentral:lncRNA from 1 species